rnacentral:rRNA from 1 species
UACGUAGGAGACGAGCGUUGUCCGGAAUUACUGGGCGUAAAGCGCGUGUAGGCGGAUCGGCAAGUCUGCUGUGAAAGCUCCUGGCUUAACCGGGAGUGGUCGGCGGAAACUGCGGGUCUGGAGGACGGUAGAGGCUGGUGGAAUUCCCGGUGUAGUGGUGAAAUGCGUAGAGAUCGGGAGGAACACCUGUGGCGAAGGCGGCCAGCUGGGCCGGGCCUGACGCUGAGACGCGAAGGCGUGGGGAGCAAACAGG